rnacentral:lncRNA from 1 species
GUUUAAAAUCUAAUAAGGUAUUUAUUAAACAUAAAAGACAGGACAUAAGAUUCACAAAGCAAAUUUCAGUUACUAGAAUAUCAAACCUCCCUUCUAAAUUUCAUGUUUUGCUUAUAUUUUAGAGAAAAGGGACUUUGACUGGGGGGGCCAAAAUGGUUGAGUGGGGGGGCCACCAUGGGGGCUGGGGGGGGGCUUUGGCCCCCCCAGUUAUAUAGUUAAAAAAUGCCCUGUUUAGUGGUGCCAUUGUAAAUUUCAUAGUAUGGAUUUCACAUUUUUUCCCAGUGUAGUAUUGAUUAGGUUUAUCAAUGGACCAAUCCCCAAUUAACCAAAAUUUUGAACUUAACAAGUCUAGACAAAAAUUUCAUUACAGCUUCAAAGAGCAUCACAAAAUUAGUAAUAAUCCAGAGUUUCGUCGAGAAAUGUUGUAAAAUGCGGAUAAUAUAGCCUUGCGAAGUUUGCCGUUUUUCAGUCAUUUUGUAUUACGCACGGGAAAUAGUUACCACUUCUGUGCGUAAUACAAAAGGACUGAAAAUUACAAACUUCGCAAGGCUAUAUUAUCCGCAUUGUCAUAACAUUUCGCAACGAAACUUUGCAAUAUUACUAAUUUUGUGAUGCUCUUUCAAGCUGUGAUGAAAUUUUUGUUUAGGCUAGUUAAGAUCAAAAUUUUGGAAAAGUACGUAUCACGCUCGUAUUAAAUACAAAAUGACUGAAAAUUGCAUGCAAAUUUCGCAAAGCUAACAUUUCGCAACGAAACUUUGGAAUAUUACUAAUUUUGUGAUGCUCUUUCAAGCUGUGAUGAAAUUUUGUUUAGACUUGUUGAGAUCAAAAUUUUGGUUAAUUGGGGAUUGGUUCAUUUGUCUCGGAAUUCACGUUAAUUUACUGCGUCUUAUUCAAAUAACUAACCCCCUCUCCAUUACUCCCCCCCCCUAGCUCUAAUAACUCCCCCCUGACAUAUAUAGAGGGUUUAUUGUACAUUCAAAUAACAUUUUCUGCCUGUUUAAUUAAGUGAGUGACCUAGUUUGAAUAUUACCCAUGCAGACUUUAUAUGAAAAACAGCAUAAAUAUAAUGCGCGAAUCAAAUCGAAACCUUGACAUCCCCCCCCCCCCNNNNNNNNNNNNNNNNNNNNCCCCCCCCCCCGGCAUACCUUGGGAAUUUGCUUGUUUAGUAUUUUAAGAAGGCGGGAAUUUGACCUUUUUUCUAAUUAAUUUUCUAAUUAAUUUCUAAUAAUUGCUGUGUUUAAGGUCAUAAUUAAAUACUAUGUGAUUUUUAAGCUUUUGUUCUAAUAUUUGAAUUUUAAUAUUGUGUAUAAUUAUAGUUUGUUAAAAAGCAUUUCCGAAAAUGAAAGCCAUUUGAAAUUUCCAAUAAGAAACAUUACAGACUACCCAUCUUUUUCAAAUUACGUCUGUUUUGAAAGGAACCAACAUGAUCAUUAUCUUAAGUGGUUUUGGUUUAUUUUGGGGAAACUGUAUAGUUUUACACAUAUAGAGGUUUCAUAUAUUAAUUUGUGUAUAAUAUGGACG